GGUCUGGUGGUCUAGCGGUAUGAUUCUCGCUUAGGGUGCGAGAGGUCCCGGGUUCAAUCCCCGGCCAGACCC